GUGGGGAAUAUUGGACAAUGGGCGAAAGCCUGAUCCAGCAAUGCCGCGUGAGUGAUGAAGGCCUUAGGGUUGUAAAGCUCUUUUACCAGGGAUGAUAAUGACAGUACCUGGAGAAUAAGCUCCGGCUAACUCCGUGCCAGCAGCCGCGGUAAUACGGAGGGAGCUAGCGUUGUUCGGAAUUACUGGGCGUAAAGCGCGCGUAGGCGGCGAUUUAAGUCAGAGGUGAAAGCCCGGGGCUCAACCCCGGAAUAGCCUUUGAGACUGGAUUGCUAGAAUCCUGGAGAGGUGAGUGGAAUUCCGAGUGUAGAGGUGAAAUUCGUAGAUAUUCGGAAGAACACCAGUGGCGAAGGCGGCUCACUGGACAGGUAUUGACGCUGAGGUGCGAAAGCGUGGGGAGCAAACAGGAUUAGAUACCCGAGUAGUCC
rnacentral:rRNA from 1 species